CAAAAAUCUAACUUAGAUGUUUUCAGACUUUAAAUGUGUUCUAAUGUAGAGAUGAAUCCAUGUCCUAUGCCAUCGAAUGUGUAGACACAGCCUCAAAUUCCAAAUAAAUGGAAAAUGAUAAGCACAUACUAAAAUCUGGAAAUGAUAUGGCACUUAUCUUUUCCAUUCCACAGAUGGCCUGGGACGUCUGCUUCCAACUCACACUCUCAAACACACAGAUCCCCUGAACGCAGCUCACUCUCCAGAUCCCAAUCACCUGAAUUCUGACCACCUGUUCACACACCUAUUUCCUGUCGUCAACCUCUUGUCUGAUCUCCUGGAUUACGUCGUUAGCCUUUUCCCUGCCUGUACAGUUACCUUUUUGGAGUCCCUGUGUAUGAUCUUCUGCCUGUCCAUGGACCCAGCUACCUGCCUCCUCCUGUGGUCCUUUUCUAAUAAAUACCUGCUGCGCCCUGCGCUUGAAACCAGCA